CUUCAGGGUUAGGGCCUCUCUCUUUCCAUUCUUGGGGGCUCCCCCUCCUUGAGAGCUCCGGGAGGCCCAGCCUUCCAGAAUCCGAUCUCCUUCCAACACAGCAGCCCCCCUGCGGAGGAAGGAAGAGGCCUCCUCCGAAUGAAUGAAUGGCGUGUAAGGAGGUUUUUAAUUUGUCUGGAGCUACAAGAAAAAGGCCUCCGAGCAGCGUCCCUCCCUCGCCUCGUUUGGAAGCCCCCCUGCCUUCCCGGUGGGCGCUGUCACCUCACCACCACCUCACCAUCCGUGGCCAGGUCCACCGGAAGAAAUGGGCGGAGGGAUCUGAAAAUAGUGGAGAUCCCUGAGAAGAGGUCCAUGGAGAUGUCAUCGUCUGAUUACAGCCACUUAAGGGAUUAUAUAGAAGACGUGACAUGCUUUCAUGAAGAUGGAUAGCAGAGGAGCAGCUCUUAAG